CCUACGGGGUGCAGCAGUGAGGAAUAUUGGUCAAUGGGCGUAAGCCUGAACCAGCCAAGUCGCGUGAGGGAUGAAGGUUCUAUGGAUCGUAAACCUCUUUUAUAAGGGAAUAAAGUGUGGGACGUGUCCUGUUUUGUAUGUACCUUAUGAAUAAGGAUCGGCUAACUCCGUGCCAGCAGCCGCGGUAAUACGGAGGAUCCGAGCGUUAUCCGGAUUUAUUGGGUUUAAAGGGUGCGUAGGCGGCCUGUUAAGUCAGCGGUGAAAGUCGGUGGCUCAACCAGAGAAUUGCCGUUGAAACUGGGAGGCUGGAGUAUGGUAGAGGCAGGCGGAAUGCGUGGUGUAGCGGUGAAAUGCUUAGAUAUCACGAGGAACCCCGAUGGCGAAGGCGGUCUGCUGGGCCGUAACUGACGCUGAGGAACGAAAGCGAGGGUAGCAAACAGGAUUAGAUACCCUGGUAGUC
rnacentral:rRNA from 1 species